rnacentral:lncRNA from 10 species
CCUCUCUGUUGUGAUUCAUCCCCCCGGGGCCCUACAGUUUCUCCUUCCUGACUCUUACAUUUCUUUGGAUGGCAUCAUUAUUUACCUGUCUCCUCCCAUAGUUAGGUGCCAAGCACUGUGGAUUCUGCCUCUCAGUGUCCAGACACCCAUUUUCCUUCCCACUGUUCCUUCCCCAUGGAGAAGCCUGUGGCUGGCUGACAGCAGAGAGAGAUGCUCAACUUGGAGAAGGUGUUACCUGGGCCAGGUGGGGAAGGUUUGUUUGCAGAGCAAAGAAGUGAAGCCUAUUCAACGUGAAAAAGAUGAGGAUGAAGACCUUUAUUAUGAUCCACUUCCAAGUAAUGAACACACUGGAGAAAGUCAGACAGUCAAAACAAUGUCCCAGACUCCGUGAAGUUCCUGGGUAGAGAAGGAGACAGACAUAUACCAUACCUAAUAAUUGGAUGUCCGAGAGAAUGAGAGAAUGGCAGAAAGAACUUUAGAGCAUGGGUAUGAUGGCUAGAGCUUGAGCAGCCAUUGUGGACAUCAGAUGAACUUGAAAGUGAAAACUAUGAGCUGAAUACGACAAAGCAAACAGAUAGAAAACUGGAUUCAUUAUGACAUUGCAAAGCUGCCAGACCAGCUCUAGUCUGCUUCCCCCUAAUCUUCCUUACUAAGAGAGAGAAAUAAACUUCCAUCUUCUUCAAGCCACUGCUGGUGCAUCUGACUACUUACUAGAUGGUUGCAUUUUGAUUUCCCAGAGACAUCUUAAGGUCAACAUGUUCAAAACCAAACAUCUUCCUUUCUUAAGGCUGCAUCCCACCCGGUUGUUGAAGUCAGAAACCUGGAUUCUACAUUCUCCCUUAACCCCAUAUCCAAUUAAAGCAGGCAGAAUAAUGGCUCCCUC